rnacentral:rRNA from 1 species
GACGAACGCUGGCGGCGUGCUUAACACAUGCAAGUCGAACGGAAAGGCCCUGCUUUUGUGGGGUGCUCGAGUGGCGAACGGGUGAGUAACACGUGAGUAACCUGCCCUUGACUGUGGGAUAACUUCAGGAAACUGGGGCUAAUACCGGAUAGGAGCUCCUGCUGCAUGGUGGGGGUUGGAAAGAUUCGGCGGUUGGGGAUGGACUCGCGGCUUAUCAGCUUGUUGGUGGGGUAGUGGCUUACCAAGGCUUUGACGGGUAGCCGGCCUGAGAGGGUGACCGGCCACAUUGGGACUGAGAUACGGCCCAGACUCCUACGGGAGGCAGCAGGGGGGAAUAUUGCACAAUGGGCGGAAGCCUGAUGCAGCAACGCCGCGUGCGGGAUAACGGCCUUCGGGUUGUAAACCGCUUUCGCCUGUGACGAAGCGUGAGUGACGGUAAUGGGUAAAGAAGCACCGGCUAACUACGUG